AAAGCAAUGUUCUGAAUUUUGAUGAGCCGUGUAGAGUCCAAUAGGGGACGUUGCGAGGUAUAUAAAGAAACGGACAAUUUACGAACUGCAUCAGAAUAGUAGUAACCACUCCUGCAAACUUCUAUACAAAGCCAAACAAAAUGAUUAAGCUAGUAAACCUUGUUCUCCUUGUCUUAGCCCUCAUUGCUGCCGUUGCUGUUGCUGUGCCACGUCCACAGGUUGUCUAUUCUGGAUUAGGAUACACCUAUGGGUCCUAUGUUCCAGCCGUGGCUAGCUAUUCAUCACCUUACGUGGUGUACUAACCGAUGGAUUCGAUGACCUCAUGAGACUUUAUAUUGGCUGUUACGGUUAACGACGUGUGCAUUAUUUAGGCAAAAUGAUUUUUGUUUUGUGAACGUUUUAAGAUGCAGAGUGUACUCCUUUUAAUUUAAACCCUAAAAUAUAGUUCUCGCAUUUUCAAAAGGCAAAAAUAGUCUUUA